ensembl:misc_RNA Metazoa_SRP Metazoan signal recognition particle RNA
GCUGGGCAUGGUGGCGCGUGCCUGUAAUCCCAGCUACUCGGGAGGCUGAGGCAGGAGAAUUGCCUGAAGCCGGGAGGCGGAGGUUGCAGUGAGCUGAGAUCGCGCCAUUGCACUCCAGCCUGGGUAACAAGAGCGAAACUCCGUCUCAAAAAAAAAAAAGUUUCGUUCUUGUUACCCAGGCUGGAGUGCAAUGGCGCGAUCUCGGCUCACCGCAACCUCCGCCUCCUGGGUUCAGGCAAUUCUCCUGCCUCAG